rnacentral:rRNA from 1 species
GACGAACGCUGGCGGCGUGCUUAACACAUGCAAGUCGAACGGAAAGGCCUGCUUUCCCUUGUGGAUUGCGGGUACUCGCGUGGCGAACGGGCGAGUAACACGUGAGUGAUCUGCCCCCAACUUGGGUAUAAGCCUGGGAAACUGGGUCAAAUUACCGAUAGGACUGCAGGGUGGUGCCUGUGGUGGAAAACGAUUUUUUAGUGGUUGGGGAUGAGCGCGCGGCCUAUCAGCUUGUUGGUGGGGUAAUGGCCAACCAAGGCGGCGACGGGUAGCCGGCCUGGGAGGGUGGACGGCCACAGUGGACCUGAGAUACGGCCCAGACUCCGACGGGAGGCAGCAGUGGGGAAGAUGGCACAGUGGGCGGAAGCCUGAAGCAGCGACGCCGCGGGGGGGAUGACGGCCUUCGGGUGGUAAACUCCUUUCGACCGCGAGGAAGCCACCUGGUUGGAAGGGUAGUGACGGUAGUGGGAGAAGAAGCACCGGCUAACUACGUG